GAAGAGUUGAGCCUAAUGUUGAAGCAGCACAAUGCAAAGUGCACGCUGAGCACGACAUUGCUGCGCAACCAACUUCAGCAUGACAUGCUUUGCUUUGCUGAGAAAAUGGUUGCAUUCGUGAAGGAUCGUUGUAGAUGUUGUGCGGAAAAAGGAUUGUCCAAGUGCAUCACCAUCAACAAUGAUGGUGAAGAUGGCACUUCACUGAGACGAGUGUUUGAAGGUGCCCGAAAACUCGAUAUGUCUGAUGAUGAAGGGCCAAGCGAUGCAAGAGAUGAGGAAAACCAACAUAGAACGAAAAGGGUUUGCAUGGA